rnacentral:rRNA from 1 species
UGGGGAAUAUUGCGCAAUGGGCGAAAGCCUGACGCAGCAACGCCGCGUGAGGGAUGAAGGCCUUCGGGUUGUAAACCUCUUUUAGCAGGGAAGAAGCGAAAGUGACGGUACCUGCAGAAAAAGCACCGGCUAACUACGUGCCAGCAGCCGCGGUAAUACGUAGGGUGCAAGCGUUAUCCGGAAUUAUUGGGCGUAAAGAGCUCGUAGGCGGUUUGUCGCGUCUGCUGUGAAAAUCUGAGGCUCAACCUCGGACUUGCAGUGGGUACGGGCAGACUAGAGUGCAGUAGGGGAGAAGGGAAUUCCUGGUGUAGCGGUGGAAUGCGCAGAUAUCAGGAGGAACACCAAUGGCGAAGGCACUUCUCUGGGCUGUAACUGACGCUGAGGAGCGAAAGCGUGGGGA